GGAAGGGUCAAACUUCAAAGGCUAACAGGUAAGCCAGUAAGCCCAAUUAAAGCUGGUGUUCCGUUCAUCUUCUUCCCCAAAAUCGCUGCCAGGUCCGAAUCGCUAUGGCUAAAACCUUUCCAAACUUUCUUUUUCUUCUCCUCGUUCCUUCCAUUUUUCUGUGCUCUUUUCCGACUCUUGCUACGCCAAAAUCUAACCAUUUUUCAAGAAUCUUAUCUCCGGCAACACUAGGCCUCAAGAAAGAGAAACUAACCCACCUUCGCUUCUACUUCCACGACAUAGUUAGCGGGCGAAACGCCACCGCCGUUCCAGUAGCACAAGCAGCCAUGACCAACACCUCCUCAUCGGCAUUUGGACUCAUGACGAUGAUGGACGACCCCUUGACUCUCGAGCCCCACCCCAGCUCCAAGCUCAUAGGAAGAGCACAAGGGAUUUACGCAUCAGCAUCACAAACCGAACUCUGUUUUUUAAUGGUCUUAAACUUCGCCUUCACGGAAGGGAAAUACAACGGUAGCAACCUUAGUGUUUUGGGACGGAACAGUGUAUUCUCCGGCGUUAGAGAGAUGCCGAUAGUGGGCGGAAGCGGGCUUUUCCGGUUUGCUCGUGGGUACGCUCAGGCCAGGACUCAUGAGUUGGACCUGAAGACUGGGGAUGCAGUGGUGGAGUAUAACGUCUAUGUCUUCCAUUAUUGAGUUUUAUUUUCCUUUUUCUUUUGUUCAAUGGCUAAAAAUCCUGCUACUGGGCGUAAAGGGUUAUGCAAUGAAUGCAUGUAUCAGUGUUCAGUAUCAAUUAAUUAAUGAGAUAUUAAAUUCAAAUUUAAUAAAAAUGAAUGAAGAAGAUUAAUUAAAAACUGAAAAUUGAUAAAAAUAGAAAAAAAUAAUUGCAUAGUUCAUGAUGGGCCUGGCAGGUCUGGAGGAUAGAGAUGGCUGAUGUUUGUUUUGGUUUAGCUUUUGGUCCAUUGCUGUUACUGCUUUGAUUUUAUUUAUUUACAAAAAGAAAGGAAGUUAAGUUCACC
rnacentral:misc_RNA from 1 species